rnacentral:lncRNA from 1 species
UGCAGAGCAUGCUUGUAAAAAGCAAGAGAAGGUAGGUGGUCUACGAAUGGUCAAGAGCUUCCUGGGUCAGCGAUUUUGAGUGUAUCUGGGCUCUUCCCCAGCUCACUAGCCCACUCCUGUUCUCAAGAGAGUGUUCCCUUCCUGGAUAAAAGAUGAUUUUAAAGCAUGUGUCCUCCCCGCUGGGACUCAAGAACCUGGAAACUUCAGCGGGUGUGCCUGGAACUCGGAUCCACAGCAGGAGCACAGGUGCAAGCUGACUACUGUGUGGAUACUCACCCUUCAUCUCCCAAACCUUGAACAAAAGAAGCCCAUAUCCCUGAGGAGAAAGUGAAGUGGAGAUGAGAGGUGGAAGAGGAAAGAAAGGACCCAGGCAGGCAGCUUGUUCUCGGAAACACAAUGGACCAAG